GGGCGAUUAGCUCAGUGGUAGAGCACUGCCUUCACACGGCAGGGGUCGCAGGUUCGAACCCUGCAUCGCCCACCA
rnacentral:tRNA from 4 species